GACGAACGCUGGCGGCGUGCCUAAUACAUGCAAGUCGAACGAACUCUGGUAUUGAUUGGUGCUUGCAUCAUGAUUUACAUUUGAGUGAGUGGCGAACUGGUGAGUAACACGUGGGAAACCUGCCCAGAAGCGGGGGAUAACACCUGGAAACAGAUGCUAAUACCGCAUAACAACUUGGACCGCAUGGUCCGAGCUUGAAAGAUGGCUUCAGCUAUCACUUUUGGAUGGUCCCGCGGCGUAUUAGCUAGAUGGUGGGGUAACGGCUCACCAUGGCAAUGAUACGUAGCCGACCUGAGAGGGUAAUCGGCCACAUUGGGACUGAGACACGGCCCAAACUCCUACGGGAGGCAGCAGUAGGGAAUCUUCCACAAUGGACGAAAGUCUGAUGGAGCAACGCCGCGUGAGUGAAGAAGGGUUUCGGCUCGUAAAACUCUGUUGUUAAAGAAGAACAUAUCUGAGAGUAACUGUUCAGGUAUUGACGGUAUUUAACCAGAAAGCCACGGCUAACUACGUGCCAGCAGCCGCGGUAAUACGUAGGUGGCAAGCGUUGUCCGGAUUUAUUGGGCGUAAAGCGAGCGCAGGCGGUUUUUUAAGUCUGAUGUGAAAGCCUUCGGCUCAACCGAAGAAGUGCAUCGGAAACUGGGAAACUUGAGUGCAGAAGAGGACAGUGGAACUCCAUGUGUAGCGGUGAAAUGCGUAGAUAUAUGGAAGAACACCAGUGGCGAAGGCGGCUGUCUGGUCUGUAACUGACGCUGAGGCUCGAAAGUAUGGGUAGCAAACAGGAUUAGAUACCCUGGUAGUCCAUACCGUAAACGAUGAAUGCUAAGUGUUGGAGGGUUUCCGCCCUUCAGUGCUGCAGCUAACGCAUUAAGCACUCCGCCUGGGGAGUACGGCCGCAAGGCUGAAACUCAAAGGAAUUGACGGGGGCCCGCACAAGCGGUGGAGCAUGUGGUUUAAUUCGAAGCUACGCGAAGAACCUUACCAGGUCUUGACAUACUAUGCAAAUCUAAGAGAUUAGACGUUCCCUUCGGGGACAUGGAUACAGGUGGUGCAUGGUUGUCGUCAGCUCGUGUCGUGAGAUGUUGGGUUAAGUCCCGCAACGAGCGCAACCCUUAUUAUCAGUUGCCAGCAUUAAGUUGGGCACUCUGGUGAGACUGCCGGUGACAAACCGGAGGAAGGUGGGGAUGACGUCAAAUCAUCAUGCCCCUUAUGACCUGGGCUACACACGUGCUACAAUGGAUGGUACAACGAGUUGCGAACUCGCGAGAGUAAGCUAAUCUCUUAAAGCCAUUCUCAGUUCGGAUUGUAGGCUGCAACUCGCCUACAUGAAGUCGGAAUCGCUAGUAAUCGCGGAUCAGCAUGCCGCGGUGAAUACGUUCCCGGGCCUUGUACACACCGCCCGUCACACCAUGAGAGUUUGUAACACCCAAAGUCGGUGGGGUAACCUUUUAGGAACCAGCCGCCUAAGGUGGGACAGAUGAUUAGGGUG
rnacentral:rRNA from 1 species